rnacentral:lncRNA from 1 species
GGUUGAUCACCAGACCAUUCGAUCAUAAGAGAAAGAAGAGUUUAAAGGUCCUGCCUUUCCAUUCGAUGGGGUGCUCUUAUGGCGUGUAAGGAUGUCAUAUGAUUAAAUCUCAUGAAGAAGAAUGCGAAAAAAAAAAUUUAUUUUUCUGUAAAAUUUUAGAUCUUGAAAUCCUAGAUUUAUUGUAUGUGAUAUAAAGUUGUAUGAAAAGUAAAAUAUCUAAUCUAUAUGAUUAAAAUUAUUUUAAUCAUAAAAAAAUAAAAUUUGAAAUCAUAAAAAAAAAUAGAUAUGAUC